rnacentral:rRNA from 1 species
UGGGGAAUCUUGGACAAUGGGGGAAACCCUGACCCAGCAACGCCGCGUGAAGGAUGAAGUAUUUCGGUAUGUAAACUUCGAAAGAAUAGGAAGAAUAAAUGACGGUACUAUUUAUAAGGUCCGGCUAACUACGUGCCAGCAGCCGCGGUAAUACGUAGGGACCAAGCGUUGUUCGGAUUUACUGGGCGUAAAGGGCGCGUAGGCGGCAUGACAAGUCACUUGUGAAAUCUCUGGGCUUAACCCAGAACGGCCAAGUGAUACUGUCGCGCUAGAGUGCAGAAGGGGCAAUCGGAAUUCUUGGUGUAGCGGUGAAAUGCGUAGAUAUCAAGAGGAACACCUGAGGUGAAGACGGGUUGCUGGGCUGACACUGACGCUGAGGAGCGAAAGCGUGGGGAGCAAACGGGAUUAGAUACCCAUGUAGUCCCUGAGCGGGCUGGCAAGGCGCAU